UGCGGAGGAUCAUUAAUAAAAUGAAUGUUGAGAGGGGUUGUAGCUGGCCUUUUUGGGGCAUGUGCACACCUUGAUCACGCAUCCAACUCUCUCACACCUGUGCACUAUGUGUAGCUUGGGGGAUGAUUACAAUGUUGGAAACAAUAUUGAAAGCCCUCUAGCUAUGAAUACACCCAUAUACAAAGUUAUAGAAUGGAUAAUGUAAUAGCGCGAAAUAAUACAAAUUUAUACAACUUACCUCUUGGGACUUCUUGCCUCUAACAUCGCUGAAAAAUGCAACAAAAUGCGAUAAUUGCUGAGAAUUGCGAAUUUCCGAGACUCUUAAAAUCUUUUAACCUCCCUGGUAUUCCUAGGAAUUCCCAGGAUCAAGCGUGUUGAAAUGCCCUGCUGUUUUUUACUGCUUUUUGGCAUUGAUUGUUUUGGAUGAAGAUGAAAUUGGCGGAUUUUUUUUUGGGGGGGCCGAUGCCCCCCCCUUGAAUCCACUAGAAUAUAUGAUGGAUUCUGAUUGAUCAUCACUCAUGAACUCUUAAGCGAUGAUAAACGUCGAUACAGGUAGAAGAUGUACUUAGAGGCUCCCAUAGGCUCCGAUAUGAUAAGUGGUGAUGACUGACUAAUAUGACCUCAUAUGACGUCGGAC
rnacentral:misc_RNA from 1 species